UAUCCCUUGACCCCGCUAUCUAGAAGAGCUCUAUCUAACUCUCUCUUGCUGAAGGGUCUAGACCCGAAACGUCGUCUGUGAACUCUUUUCUAUCGAUGCUGCCUAGCCUGCUGAGUUCCUCCAGCACUUUGUGGGUGAUGUUACGCAGCUGCUGGAAAUCUUGACAAAGACACACGACAGUCCACGUGUUGGGCCGGGACUCUAUCCGUCAAAGACGGGAAGCAAUAUUAGGCUAUAUAUUUCAUACAUAUUGCUAGAAUGGAAAGUCCAGGGCCAGAGGGCACCGCUUAAGAAUAGAAGAACGUCCCUUUAGAACAGAAUCAAGAAAUAAUUUAUUUAGCCAGAGGAUGGUGAAUCUGUGGAAUACUGUAGAGGCCAAGUGAUUUAAAACAGGUUAAUAGGUUUUUCAUUAGUCAGGGUGUCCAAGGUUAUGGGGAGAUGGCAGGAGAUUGGGGUUGAGGGGGAUAAUAAAUCAACCAUGAUGGAAUGGCAGAACAGAUUCAAUGGGCAGAAUGGCCUAAUUCUGUUCCUACGACUUAUGGUCUCAUAUAAAUUUUACCGCGUUUAAAGGACAUUACCAUUAUUUCUAACGUUGCACGCCAGUACUGACUAUCGGUCAUUCUUGUAAUGGUGUAUACUGUGUCGGGGUAGGGAGGGAAAACAUCUGGGGAAUUUUCAAUAAAGUUGCUGGACAAUGUCGAUAGAAAUUGAAGUUCUCGUCCCUUGUUUCUUUCAGAACGGGCCGGACUCACCGGGGAGGAGAGCGGACAGGGGGCAAUACCUGUCCAUUUCGAAAAUGUGAGCACUGCGAUCUCAAUGCAAACAUUCAAGAGAAAAUACGUGUCACAUAUACAAGAUGUAUAACAGUGAAGAAGCUGAAAUGGUGUGCUUGGAGGAGCCGGUGUUUUCUAAAUGGGACUUGGGUGAAAUGUCAGAUAUGACACAAUUUCGCAAGAAUGGAACGGCCUCCCGGGCAGAGUUGGUAGCCUUUGCCAACUUGUUUAAGUAACUGAGACAGCGAACCGCUCCGGCUAAUCAAUACUUCAGCGUGACGUAUCAGAAAGGAAUAAACUGUUUGCUUAAAAUGGCCGAGCACAUAAAGAGAGGGGGGAUCGGAUUUUUCGGUUUACAAACGGGAAGAAAUGGGUUUAACACUCAUCUCCCAGGCCCCUACGCAGCAAAUUCCCGGCUGGAUAGUAGGAAUGAACCGCAAUGAACUGAAAGUGUUCACAACUGAGACGGAACAGGAGAAGGAAACUCCGUCUGUUCAGGAUUGCUUUAAUGAAUGGAGGGGACACUCGGCCGCUGACAAGUUGUUUCACUUCUGCCGGAGCUCUGGAGUGUGACAAUGGUGUUUGUGUACAGUGAAAUCAAACGCCAUUAUCACACUAAAUAGCUGGGGCAGAAAUCGGCUACGAUGCGACGUACCUGAGCAGGAAGUCUUCACAAACCCCUCGCGCAGUUCGAAGGGCUAAGGGAAUUGCUCAGGGAACCAGAUACGCUCUCAAUAUGAACCAGUACCCAACUAGUUUAGCAAAUAGUUCUAAAGCCCAGCGGGUCUUUGGGCCUGAGAUGGUUCAGAUGAUGUUGAGGAAUAAGCAAGUAAAAUUAAAGGAAAUAUAUGGCAGAAGUAGUUUUGAAAUUAGGAUUAGGCAAGUCAAUUUUAUACACAGGAGGUACCUAAUGAAGAGACCACUGAAUAACAUGCUCGUGGUCUGCCGCUGUAGCCCAUCCACUUAACAGCUCAACGUGUUGUUUUCAGAGCUUCCCUGCACACCACUGUUGUAAUGCGUGAUUAUUUGAGUUGCUGUCACCUUCCCAUUAGCUUGAUGCCGGUCAGACCAUUCUCUUCUGACCUCUCUCAUUAACCAAGCAUUUUUGCCCACAAAACUGCCACUCACGGCAUGUUUCUCUGCAAACUCUAGAGACCGUCGAGCAUGAAGGUCCCAGGAGAUCAGUAGUUUCUAAGAUUCAAACCACCCUGUCUGGCACUGACGAUCAUUCCAUCAUCAAAGUAAUCUCGAUCACAUUUCUUUCCCAUCUGAUCAACAACUAAACCCCUUGCCCAUGCCUGCAUGCAUUUAUGCAUUGAGUUACUGCCGCAUGAUUGGCUGAUUAGAUAUUGGCAUUAACCAGCAGGUUUACAGGUGUUCUUAAUAAAGUGGCCACUGAGCGUUAUAUCAGUUGAGAUCCAUUUUCUUGCGGGUAUUUACAGGAAAAUAAAGAAAUACAAUUGAAUUUAUUGCUUAUUUAUAAUAAUUAUUUAUUUAUCUUUGUAUUUGCCCGGUUUGUUGUCUUUUGCACACUGGCUGAAUGCCAACAUUCAUUGAUUCUACUAUCGUUAUUAUUCAAUAGAUUUAUUGACUAUGCCCAUAAGAAAAUUUAUCUUGGGAUUGUAUGUUGUGAUAUAUAUGUACUUUAAUAAUAAAUUUACUUUGAACCUUGAA